GCGUUUGUGGUUUAGUGGUAAAAUCCAUCGUUGCCAUCAAUCUCUAAUAUUCACAACAGAGCGCGAAACAACUUCGAUGGGCCCCGGGUUCGAUUCCCGGCGAACGCA
rfam:Botryotinia fuckeliana BcDW1 unplaced genomic scaffold Scaffold_148, whole genome shotgun sequence.